GGAUUAGGCAUGCAAGUCGAACGAGGGAGUGUUUCGAAAGGGACACAAACCGAGUGGCGUAAGGGCGAGUAAUGCAUUGAUAACCUGCCUUUGAGAUGGGGAUAACAACGUCUCGCAAGAGACUUCCGAAAGGGUUGCUAAUACCCAAUAAGACUGUUGGUGCGGAGGUGCUGAGAGUCAAAGGUCUGGAGUGAAAGCUCCAUUUGCUCAGAGAGGGGUCAAUGUCCUAUCAGCUAGUUGGUAGGGUAAAGGCCUACCAAGGCGAAGACGGGUAGCCGGCCUGAGAGGGUGGUCGGCCGCAUUGGGACUGAGACACUGCCCAGACUCCUACGGGAGGCUGCAGUCGAGAAUCUUUCGCAAUGCCCGCAAGGGUGACGAAGCGACGCCGCGUGUGGGAAGAAGGCCUUCGGGUUGUAAACCACUGUCGGGAGUUAAGAAAGGUGUACGGGUAAAUAGUCCGUGCAUUUGACAAAAGCUCCGGAGGAAGCCACGGCUAACUCUGUGCCAGCAGCCGCGGUAAUACAGAGGUGGCAAGCGUUGUUCGGAAUUAUUGGGCGUAAAGAGCACGUAGGCGGCCCUGCAAGUCAGCUGUGAAAGCCUCCUGCUUAACGGGAGAAGUGCAGUUGAAACUACGGGGCUAGAGUGCGGAAGGGGAGAGUGGAACUUCUGGUGGAGCGGUGAAAUGCGUAGAUAUCAGAAGGAACACCGGCGGCGAAAGCGGCUCUCUGGUCCGUAACUGACGCUGAGGUGCGAAAGCCAGGGGAGCAAACGGGAUUAGAUACCCCGGUAGUCCUGGCCGUAAACGAUGGGCACUCGGUAGAGGGGUUUUGAAUAUCUCUCUGCCUGAGCUAACGCGUUAAGUGCCCCGCCUGGGGAGUACGGCCGCAAGGCUAAAACUCAAAAGAAUUGACGGGGGCUCGCACAAGCGGUGGAGCAUGUGGCUUAAUUCGAUGCAACACGAAGAACCUUACCGGGGCUCGACAUGACAGAAGUAGGAGUCCGAAAGGACAACCAACGGUAUCCAGUCCGUAGCUGUCACAGGUGUUGCAUGGCUGUCGUCAGCUCGUGUCGUGAGACGUUGGGUUAAGUCCCCUAACGAGCGAAACCCUUGUCUUUAGUUGCCAACGGGUCAAGCCGGGCACUCUAAAGAGACUGCUGUCGUUAAGACGGAGGAAGGUGGGGAUGACGUCAAGUCAUCAUGGCCCUUAUGUCCCGGGCUGCACACGUGCUACAAUGGUCGGUACAAAGGGAUGCUAAAUCGCAAGAUGGAGCGAAACCCAGAAAGCCGGUCCCAGUUCAGAUUGGAGGCUGAAACCCGCCUCCAUGAAGGAGGAAUCGCUAGUAAUCGCGGAUCAGCUAUGCCGCGGUGAAUAUGUUCCCGAGCCUUGUACACACCGCCCGUCAAGCCACCCAAGCAAGAUGCACCCGAAAUUGCUGACCCAACCCGCAAGGGAGGGAGGCGCCUAAGGUGUGUUUUGUGAGGAGGACUAAGUCGUAACAAGGUAGUCGUAGGAGAACCUGCGGCUGGAUCACCUCCUUUCUAAGGAGUAAAAAGACACAACAAAACCUCACGGUCACCAAGCCUUUGUCUUGCACGCACACUGCUUCUCUUUCCUUAUUCAUAACGAAUGUAGUAGUAAGAAUAAAUCAGAUACCGGGAGAAAGGAUUUUUUUCCGGUGUCUGAGACUGCUUCCGUAGUAGAGAGAAUAAAGUAAGGGAAAGUGUUGAGAGAAGGCCCAAAGAGAUCUUGGGCCUAUAGCUCAGAUGGUUCAGAGCAUUCCCCUGAUAUGGGAAAGGUCAGUGGUUCGAGUCCACUUAGGCCCACCACUUUCGUCAAGAGGUCUUGGAAGCAGGGGAUGUAGCUCAAUUGGAGAGCGCUGCCCUUGCAAGGCAGAGGUUGGCGGUUCGACCCCGCUCAUCUCCACCAGUUCUUCAGUCUUGCGAGAGACUGAGAGUGGGAUUUAUAGAAUACGAAAUAGUAGAAACAGAAGUUCUUUGACAAGUGAAUACUGAAACGGGUAACAAGAAAAGAGAUCCUCUUUAGAGUAAGAGAAGAGUAAGAGAAGAGUCAAGCGAAAGAAGGGUACAUGGUGGAUGUCUAGGCGCUCAGAGGCGAGGAAGGACGUGGAAGACUGCGAUAAGCUCCGGGGAGUUGUCAAACGAGCAUUGAUCCGGAGGUGUCCGAAUGGGGAAACCUGUCAGGGGUAAAUACCCUGACACCGGUAUCUGAAUCUAUAGGGUAUCGGGGCAAACCGAGAGAAGUGAAAUAUCUCAGUAACUCGAGA
rnacentral:rRNA from 1 species